UACAGAGGGUGCAAGCGUUGUUCGGAAUUACUGGGCGUAAAGCGCGUGUAGGCGGCUUCGUAAGUCGGACGUGAAAUCCCUUGGCUUAACCAAGGAAGUGCAUCCGAUACUGCGGGGCUUGAGUGUCGGAGGGGAUGGCGGAAUUCCCGGUGUAGAGGUGAAAUUCGUAGAUAUCGGGAGGAACACCUGUGGCGAAGGCGGCCAUCUGGACGACAACUGACGCUGAGACGCGAAAGCGUGGGUAGCAAACAGG
rnacentral:rRNA from 1 species